GGGCUCGUGGUCCAGUGGUAAGACGUCUCCCUCACGCGGAGAAGAUCAUCGGUUCAAUUCCGGUCGGGCCCA
rnacentral:tRNA from 1 species